UUGAAAAAAUAAUGACAAAAUUGAUAGUUUUUCGUAACUUCAAAUGUUAUAACUUUUCCAAUUCUUAUCAAAAUGUAUACAAUUAGGUAUAAAAACAAAGAUAUGAAAAAGACAAGGCACCUACAACACCCAGUAAUAUGUUACGAAUGUAUAUUUGUUAAUGAAAGUUUUGUGUUUUUUAUUGAAAUUCUGGAUUUUUAUUUUCAAUUUUUUAUAUUCUAACAGACGAUCAUUAAAUAUGAUAGAUAAACAAGUAGAAAAGAAUAUAGUAAUACAUAAUACUCUCUUCAUAUGUAAUGCUCUCCUUAAGCGUAAAUCAAAUUGUUUAAACUGGAUAUGAUGAUUAAAUGUUGUAUCGGCAUGGUUUUAUCUGACUACUUUGCUUUUUCAAUUUGGUUGCCAGCUUCAACCUAAUUCUUGAUUUAGAACUAUGAUUUUGAACUAAAACAUUUCCGUGUUGAAUAAAAUACUAUUUAUUCUUAACUGUAUUUUUUUUGAGGCUUCAGUUAUCAAACGUUGGUGGUAAUUUUAGUUAUGCCACUGUAAAAGCGUCGAUUGUUAAGUAGACAUAAAAAGUUUGAAGUAUGCACAAAGCCUGAAAGUGUCAAAUAUGGAACCUAAAAAACCUGCCUUUGCCACUGACUGUAUAAAGUGUUUUUAAGGUCUGUUUGUCAAGCAUCAAGUCAGGUUAUCUUGCUACUGGUACCAUGUAGUACAUCCUGCUUAAGCAGGUUGUACGCCAUCCAUACGACGUUUGGGCAUCUGUUUGUAAAAUAUUGCUGCAAAUCUUUUUGAGAGAGCCAUUACUAUGGAGAACCAUCUAAACCAUACAAGUGUGGAAACAUGGAUGUAAAUCUAUAUUAAUGUGAAAUAAACUGAUGAGUUUAUUUAACUUAGCUGGUAAAAAAAAGAGUUUUCGUGAAACAAAUUUAAUGAAGACAGUUAUAGAAUGAAGUUCAUUCAUUUGCUAGCAACAUUUUUAAACGUGGUCCAGAUCAAAAAAAUUUGGUGCUAGAAAUUGUCGAUAGUGGUAGUGAUAGAUGCAUCGAACCUAAUUUGUAAUUAAUUUCUGUAAAUAAAUUUCACUUUACUAA